rnacentral:lncRNA from 14 species
CACAUUGAUGAACCUAUGGCUGUUACACAUCAUGUUAAAAGCACAGACUGUAACUUAAAGAGCAACUGUUCCCAGGGCAGGCUGAGACUUGUAGCUUCACACCAGAGGGAGCCAUUUGUGGAGGGUCUUUGGAGCGCACCCCAACUCUGGAUUUGUGACAGCAAGAAAGAUUACUCGGUCCUCAGAGCCAUUUAGAAGCAGACUGAAAAAAAGUCUUAAUGUGCACAGUCUCACAGUUGGAAAGCCCUCGGCUGACUUCUUCAGGCCUUCAACCCAUUUCUGUGUUGUGCUCAGCGAACUCCAGCUUCCCAACAUUCCUUAUCUCCAGAACCAGCACUUUUCCUGCUUUUUCUCCAAGAACGGAAAAUGGGGCUUUCCUGGUGAGAGAAGAGGAGCUAUUCUUUGAUCUGAACAACAAUGUAGGGUCCGACCUUGUCCCCUCCACCUGCAUAUGGCAGGGCUGUGUCUAUACUACUGAAGUCUUCAGACUAAACCUUGGCCAUGUGCCAUGGGUUAAUUCCUCUGUGUGCUGCUUAAUCAUAGAAUCAUAGAAUGGUUUAGAAUGGAAAGAACCUUAACAGUCAUCUAGUUCCAGCCCCCUGUCAUGGGCAGGGACACCUUCCACUAGACCAGGUCACCCAAGACUCUAUCCAACCUGAAUGGAGCAUUCAUAGCUUCCUUGGGCAGCCUGUUCCAGUGCCUCACCACCCUCACGGUAAAACUCCUGACCCCUAAGGGGAAAUUGCCUUGGGAGGAACUAGCUGGAGAGCUCUGGACCAAACCCAGGGAAUAAGCUACCCUUGCAAGGCAGUUGGAUCAUCAGGAGACCCUUGCUGGAACUCACUCUCUGGCCUCCUUCUUUUUAACAGUGUCAAAAUGCCAUAAAAACUCAGUCAUUUUUGUAAGAGCCACUUAGCCCAGAGAGCAUCAUAGGCAGUGUAUUCUAGGCGAUCCAAUGCACCACGGUCCCAGACUCUCUCCCCAGCGACGGGACGCUGCAGAAUCAAAUCCCGCACUGCUUCACAAUUCUGCAAUCAUUUUCAGUCUGGUGAUCAACAUUUUCUUUCAGAGUUUUCUUUUCAAAUGCACCUCUAAUGGUUCUGCACAUAUUUGUUUCUUCAUAAUUGUGGGUUUCUAUAAAGCUUAAUGUCCCCUCUCUAAUUUUUCAGCUGAAAUAUGUGGAGAUCUGACAUGGGUAGGGCUGGUAAUUUUAUAAACUCAGCCUCUAAUUUUCACACAGGAAUCUGUGAGGUAAGCAGUGUCUAUUUAAAAUAAUUAAAAAAAAAAAGAACAAAAA